GGCACGGGCGCCUGUCCCCGCGGGAGGCUCCUCGGCGCGGCCGGCGCUCAGGAGCUUGCCUAUCCCCUUUGCUGCCUUUGCCUCGGUGCAGCCGGGAGGGGUGGAAAGUGUCUGGGCCUCCAACUGAGUUACAGAUUGCAGCAGCAGCAGGAAACGCGAAGACCUCGCCAAGGGCUGAGCUGUGGCUCACGCGGGCUCAGGAAGGGAAGUUGGAAGGAACACUGGGGAAGCAAAUUUUCUGUGACAGCUCUGGCGCCCAUGCCCGGAGUUGCUCAGUAUCCUUUGGCUUUAGUUGUUUUAGUUAGGAGGAGAGUGUGUAAAACCUGGCAGCAGGAUUAGCGAGGUAAACCACAUGUCAGCCUAG
rnacentral:lncRNA from 1 species